UACGUAGGGUGCGAGCGUUAAUCGGAAUUACUGGGCGUAAAGCGUGCGCAGGCGGUUCGUCAAGUCUGAUGUGAAAGCCCCGGGCUCAACCUGGGAAUGGCAUUGGAAACUAGCGGGCUUGAGUGUGGCAGAGGGGGGUGGAAUUCCACGUGUAGCAGUGAAAUGCGUAGAGAUGUGGAGGAACACCGAUGGCGAAGGCAGCCCCCUGGGCUAAUACUGACGCUCAUGCACGAAAGCGUGGGGAGCAAACAGG
rnacentral:rRNA from 1 species